rnacentral:rRNA from 1 species
GACGAACGCUGGCGGCGUGCCUAAUACAUGCAAGUCGAGCGAAGUUUUUCUGGUGCUUGCACUAGAAACACUUAGCGGCGAACGGGUGAGUAACACGUAAAGAACCUGCCUCAUAGACUGGGACAACUAUUGGAAACGAUAGCUAAUACCGGAUAACAGUAUUUCUCGCAUGAGAGAUAUUUAAAAGUUGGUUAUGCUAACACUAUGAGAUGGCUUUGCGGUGCAUUAGCUAGUUGGUGGGGUAAAGGCCCACCAAGGCGACGAUGCAUAGCCGACCUGAGAGGGUGAUCGGCCACACUGGGACUGAGACACGGCCCAGACUCCUACGGGAGGCAGCAGUAGGGAAUCUUCCGCAAUGGGCGAAAGCCCGACGGAGCAACGCCGCGUGAGUGAAGAAGGAUUUCGGUUCGUAAAGCUCUGUUGUUAGGGAAGAAUGGAUAUGUAGUAACUAUACAUGUAAGAGACGGUACCUAAACAGAAAGCCACGGCUAACUACGUG